AAUCCGCGUUGAAGAACAGAGCAUUUAGCUCCUCUGUCAGAAUGAAUGGGAACCAGAAUUCGGAUGUUUAUAACCAAGAAAAGCAGAAUUUCAUCCAGCACUUCUCCCAAAUCAUCAAGGUGCUGACUGAGGAUGAGCUGGGACACCCAGAGACAGGGGAUGCUAUUACCCGGCUCAAGGAGGUCCUGGAGUACAAUGCUGUAGGAGGCAAGUACAACCGGGGUAUGACCGUGGUACAAGCCUUCCAGGAGCUGGUGGAGCCGAGGAAACAGGAUGCUGAGAGUCUUCAGCGGGCCCUGACUGUGGGCUGGUGUGUAGAACUGCUCCAGGCUUUCUUACUUGUGGCAGAUGACAUCAUGGACUCUUCUCUCACUCGCCGGGGGCAGAUCUGCUGGUAUCAGAAGCCAGGCAUAGGCUUGGAUGCCAUCAACGAUGCUUUGCUUCUGGAAGCCUCCAUCUUCCGCCUGCUGAAGUUCUACUGCAGGGAGCAACCCUACUACCUGAACCUGCUGGAGCUCUUUCUGCAGAGUUCCUAUCAGACCGAGAUUGGGCAGACUCUAGACCUCAUCACAGCACCCCAGGGCCAUGUGGAUCUUGGUAGAUACACUGAAAAGAGGUACAAAUCUAUUGUCAAGUACAAGACAGCGUUCUACUCUUUCUACCUGCCUGUUGCGGCUGCCAUGUACAUGGCAGGCAUUGACGGAGAGAAGGAACAUGCCAGUGCCCAGAAGAUCCUGCUGGAGAUGGGCGAGUUCUUUCAGAUCCAGGAUGACUACCUCGAUCUCUUUGGAGACCCCAGUGUGACUGGAAAGGUCGGCACUGACAUCCAGGACAACAAAUGCAGCUGGCUGGUGGUUCAGUGUCUGCUACGAGCCACUCCUCAACAGCGCCAGAUCUUAGAGGAGAAUUAUGGGCAGAAGGAUCCAGAAAAAGUGGCGCGG